AAUAGCCUAACGGCUGAACCAGCAACUUGGAGGAAUGUAUAGCGAUAGCUAAUUGUAUUUAAACAUAAUGGAUACAAUAUUGACUAUGUCAAAUAAAAUUCUAGGCAGAAUUAUGAUAAUGACAUUGUCUGCCUAUGUGUCUUGACCAAAUUACGUGCCAGCAGUCGCGGUAAUACGUAGAAGACUAGUGUUAUUCAUCUUUAAUAGGUUUAAAGGGUACCUAGACGGUAAAUCAAGCCUAAAAAGGGGACUAAUUUACUAGAGUUACUUGUGAGGGGGCACUAAAGUACUGAUGGUGUAGAGAUAGAAUUCUGUAAUACCUUUUUCGUAAAGAAAGCAAUGGCACAGGUAUAGGCGAAAGCAUCCCCUUAUGUGAUAACUGACGUUGAAGGACGAAGGCUUUGUGCAGCGAACAGGAUUAGAUACCCUAGUAGUCGAAGCAGAAAAUGAUGAAUGUCAUAGAUUAGACAUAUAAGUUUAUUCUAUAAAUGAAAGUGUAAGCAUUCCACCUCAAGAGUAAUAUGGCAACAUUGGAACUGAAAUCAUUAGACCGUUUCUGAAACCAGUAGUGAAGUAUGUUGUUUAAUUUGAUGAUCCGCAAAAAACCUUACCACAACUUGAAUAUUUAUAGAUAUACCUUUUUACUAAUAAAAAGAUUAUAGAUAUAUUUACAAGCGUUGCACGGCUGUCUUCAGUUAAUGUCGCGAGACUUUGGUUAGUUCCAUUAAAUUAACGCAAACCCUUGCUUUAUUUUUACAUAAAGUAGUUCCCCACUAGAUUGGACAAGAUAACAGGGACUAAGACAAGUCAUCAUGGCCUUAAUGUU
rnacentral:rRNA from 1 species